GGGGAAUAUUGGACAAUGGGCGAAAGCCUGAUCCAGCCAUGCCGCGUGUGUGAAGAAGGUCUUCGGAUUGUAAAGCACUUUAAGUUGGGAGGAAGGGUUGUAGAUUAAUACUCUGCAAUUUUGACGUUACCGACAGAAUAAGCACCGGCUAACUUCGUGCCAGCAGCCGCGGUAAUACGAAGGGUGCAAGCGUUAAUCGGAAUUACUGGGCGUAAAGCGCGCGUAGGUGGUUCGUUAAGUUGGAUGUGAAAGCCCCGGGCUCAACCUGGGAACUGCAUCCAAAACUGGCGAGCUAGAGUACGGUAGAGGGUGGUGGAACUCCGAGUGUAGAGGUGAAAUUCGUAGAUAUUCGGAAGAACACCAGUGGCGAAGGCGGCCAACUGGCUCGAUACUGACGCUGAGGUGCGAAAGCGUGGGGAGCAAACA
rnacentral:rRNA from 1 species